AUUCCAGCUCUAAUAGCGUAUAUUAAUACUGUUGCAGUUAAAACGCUCGUAGUUGAACUUUGAAUUAUUACAGAUUGUUUUACUUGAUUGUAAAAUGUCUGCUUAAUUCUUAUCUACUGGAUACUCUACUCUGUACUUAAUUGAAUGGAGUAUCGCCUAGCCAGCGAAGUUGUGGUCAAUUAUCUCCUAUCAUUGUACCAAGGUGUAAAAGCCUGAAGUGCAGUCAUGGGGUCAAGUUAAUUGAUUAUAAUGGGGUGCCAGUUAAUUUACUUUGAGUAAAUUAGAGUGUUCAAAGCUGCCUCUUGGGGCUUUGAAUAGUUUAGCAUGGGAUAAUAGAAUAGGAUUGGAUUCCUAUUUGUUGGUUUAAUGGAUCCAAUAAUGAUUAAGAGGGACAGUUGGGGGCACUCAUAUUAAGUGGUUAGCGGUGAAAUGUGUUGACCCACUUAAGAUGAACUAAAGCGAAAGCAUUUGCCAAGGAUGUUUUCAUUAAUCAAGAACGAAAGUUAAGGGAUCGAAGACGAUUAGAUACCGUCGUAGUCUUAACUAUAAACUAUGCCGACCAGGGAUAUGAGUAGUUUAUUUCUAAAUCAUUUCGAUGGUUUAGAUACUUCUCCUUAUGCACCUUGUGAGAAAUCAUAAGUUAUUGGGUUCUGGGGGAAUUAUGGUCGCAAGGCUGAAACUUAAAGGAAUUGACGGAGGGGCACCACCAGGAGUGGAGCGUGCGGCUUAAUUUGACCCAACACGGGAAAACUUACCAGGUCCAGACAUUUGAAGGAUUGACAUUGAUAGCUCUUUCAUGAUUAAAUGGGUGGUGGUGCAUGGCCGUUCUUAGUUGGUGGAGUGAUUUGUCUGGUUAAUUCCGAUAACGAACGAGACCUUUACCAGCUAAAUAGUAAUUAUUAGGACUUGUCCUAGUGAGAUAUACUUCUUAGAGGGACUAUUGGUUUUUAAACCAAAGGAAGUAAAGGCGAUAACAGGUCUGUGACGCCCUUAGAUGUUCUGGGCUGCACGCGCGCUACAAUGGUCAACUCAUCAGGUUAUCUCAACUUGUUUUGUGAUUUACUUUUCCUGAAGGAAUGGUUAAUCUUCAACGUUGAUCGUGCUUGGGAUAGAUAAUUGUAAUUAUUUAUCUUGAACAAGGAAUUCCUAGUAAUCGUAAUUCAUCAGAUUGCGAUGAUUACGUCCCUGCCCCUUGUACACACCGCCCGUCGCUGC
rnacentral:rRNA from 1 species